AUGAAGGAUACGGAAACAAUCGAUGACUUUGCUCUCCGGAUGACAACCAUCGUCAAUGGGAUACGAGGGCUUGGAGAAAAGUUCAAGGAGACAACUGCCGUUAAGAAAAUCCUUCGAGCUGUUCCGCCCAAGUUUCUCCAGAUUGCAUCUGCCAUAGAGCAGUUUGGCAAUUUCAAGACGAUGACUAUGGAGGAAGUCAUGGGGAGGUUGAAGGUUCAUGAGGAACGAUUACGCGGCUAUGUCGAGGACUACCAAGACGGCGAACAACUUUUGUUGACAAGAUCGGAGUGGAGAGCAAGAGAGCGUCGUCGUGAUAAAUCAAGGACAAGUGCUUCAAUUGCCAAGACCUAG
rnacentral:rRNA from 1 species